rnacentral:rRNA from 1 species
CCUACGGGAGGCAGCAGUGGGGAAUUUUGGACAAUGGGCGAAAGCCUGAUCCAGCAAUGCCGCGUGAGUGAAGAAGGCCUUCGGGUUGUAAAGCUCUUUUGUCAGGGAAGAAACGGUGAGAGCUAAUAUCUCUUGCUAAUGACGGUACCUGAAGAAUAAGCACCGGCUAACUACGUGCCAGCAGCCGCGGUAAUACGUAGGGUGCAAGCGUUAAUCGGAAUUACUGGGCGUAAAGCGUGCGCAGGCGGUUUUGUAAGUCUGAUGUGAAAUCCCCGGGCUCAACCUGGGAAUUGCAUUGGAGACUGCAAGGCUAGAAUCUGGCAGAGGGGGGUAGAAUUCCACGUGUAGCAGUGAAAUGCGUAGAUAUGUGGAGGAACACCGAUGGCGAAGGCAGCCCCCUGGGUCAAGAUUGACGCUCAUGCACGAAAGCGUGGGGAGCAAACAGGAUUAGAUACCCUGGUAGUCCACGCCCUAAACGAUGUCUACUAGUUGUCGGGUCUUAAUUGACUUGGUAACGCAGCUAACGCGUGAAGUAGACCGCCUGGGGAGUACGGUGCAAGNUUAAAACUCAAAUGAAAUUGACGG